ensembl:rRNA 5S_rRNA 5S ribosomal RNA
GCUUACGGCCAUACCAACCUGGCUAUGCCCGAUUUCGUCUGAUCUCGGAAGCUAAGCAGGUUUAGCCUCGUUAGUACAUGGAUGGGAGACUGCCUGGGAAUACCAGGUGCUUUAAUCU